GACAAAGAUAACGCCAUCUUGGGGAAGGCUGACGCUUAAGUAAGUGAACUCGAGCGUCUCGGGAAAGGUGGAUUGGGAGGACCGGAAGAAUCUUAACUGCAAUUCCAGGACCUGCUGCCUGGCACUUUUCACACGUUAAAUAGUUGGUUCUUAAAAGAGCGUACGAGAUAAGGAUUAUUAUAUUAAUCUUAGUAGAAAUAACAAGAAUAAUAGCUAACAUUAAUGUAGUGCUUAUUAUGGGCCACUUUACAUAUUUCAGCUCUUAAGAACGUGAACUCCUGGGCCGGGCGCGGUGGCUCACGCCUGUAAUCCCAGCACUUUGGGAGGCUGAGGCGGGUGGAUCAGGAGGUCAGGAGUUUGAGACCAGCCUGACCAACAUGGUGAAACCCCGUCUCUGCUGAAAAUACAAGAAAAAAAAAAAAUUAGCCGAGCGUGGUGGUGCGCGCCUGUAUUCCCAGCUACUCAGGAGGCUGAGGCAGAAGAAUCGCUUGAACCUGGGAGGUGGAGGUUGCAGUGAGUCGAGAUCAAAAAAAAAAAAAACAAAGAACACGUGAACUCGAAAGCUGACUUUCUGGGUUGGAAUCGCUCUUCACGGCUUACUGCUUGUGUGACCUUGGGCAAGUUACUUAACUUCCGUGUGCCUCAGUUUCCAAAGGGGGAUAUAAUUUUAUUUACCUAAUGGGUCUUAGUGAGGAUUAGAUGAGUUAAAUGAGCUAGUCUUGAUAAAAAUGUUAAUGAUUAUGGUAGACAGACCAAUCACCCUCACCCCGACUCCCAGAUGUCUACCUUCUAAUCCCCAGAAUCUGGGUAUAUGGUGACCUUUAUAUAGCAAAAGAGAAUUGGCAGAGAUGAUGAAAUUAAAGCGAUUGAGAUGGGGAGCUAGCCUGGAUUGUGCAGGUGGGUCCCCUAUCAUCAAAACCAUCCUUAUAAGGGGUAGACAGGAUGGCCAGAGUCAGACAGAGAUCAGAGAUGCUUUGAAGAGGGAGAGUGGGACCACAUGCCUAGGUAUGCAGGAGGCCGCUAGAAAAAGCAAAGAAAUGAGCCCUCCUCCAGAGUCUCCAGAAGGAAUGCAGCAUUGCUGACACGGUGAUUUUAGUCUUGUAACACUCAUCUCAAACUUCUGACUUCCAGAACUCUACCAGAAUACGUUUGUGUUGUUUUAAGCCACCAAACUUGUGGCAAUUUGUUACAGCAGCAAGACGAAAGUGAUCAUAAUGAUUGUAACAGUGGCAUUUAGUAUAUGUGGGGCAUGUGUAUGACUCUUUGCAUAGAUUAUAUUAUAUAAUCCUUGCAAGAAUCCUAGAAGCGGACCUAUUAUCCACCAUAUUAGAGAGAAGAAAAAUGAGACUCAUCACAUCCUCAUCUCAUCUGUCUUUAUGGAGAAAAUGGGAAAAGGGAAAAGGAGAGGGGAAUUGAGGCAGUUGACUGUGUUCAGUCUUAUUUAUUUAUUUUCAUUUGUUUAUUUCUCCAAGUCCGCCAGUCUCUGAAAUUAGAACAGUAAGCAAUAUGAGAUAAUCGGGCCUAAUAAUGUUGUGAUUCUCUUUUCUUAAUGGAGUGGAAUGUUCUGUCCCCACAAGAAGGAUUAUACCUUAUAGACUUGUCUUGUUCAGAUUCUGUAUUUACCCAUUUUACUGAAACACAUACUAAAUUCCAUGUGUUUUUGUUACAAAUCUUCUGAAAGAAAAUGUGAAACAUUAAAAGGUAUUAAUAAUAAUUUUUUUUAAAAGGAAAAAAAAUGAGGCUCAGUUGCUUAAAUGGCAUGCCAGGGGUCAUUUCCCAGCUAGCAAGUGAAGGAGCCUUCAGUUAAAAAAUAACUCAAAGACAUUGAGUUAAUUAUUGGCGUGUUAUUUACUUGUAACUAGUGGAACCAGUAUAGACUGACUUCAUCUCAGAAAGCGAGGAAAGGAUUUAUAUAGAAGAAACACAGCUUCUAAACUAUGAAUGUUGGUUUUUUUGCCUAGCUGGACCCUGGCAAUGAAGCCAGUGAGUGUUCUGAUCCUGGAAAGCUAGAAAGAAAGUAAUUCUAGUUGCACGUGAAUGUCCCUGAAGACCAUGAGAAUUUAGCUUCCUCUGCACGAUGCCUGUCAGGGUCCUUGGUUGUCAUCUCCAUCUUAGCGAUGCAGGUUUGCACCCUCACCCUUGUCAGAAAUUCUCCCUAGAGUGGCAUCCAGCUGAUUGUAACCACCUCCCAAGCCACUUAAAUGACCAGGAGCAAGCUAGUGAGUCCCCUUUAUUCCCAGGCUCACUCAUUUUGCAGGCUGCAAAAGCACAAAAUAACUUAAUCUUGCAUUGACCAGAAUGCUCCCCUGUCAUACAAAUGAUUUUUCACAUAUCCCCCCAUUUCCU
rnacentral:lncRNA from 1 species